rnacentral:rRNA from 1 species
CCUACGAGGGGCAGCAGUGAGGAAUAUUGGUCAAUGGACGCAAGGCUGAACCAGCCAUGCCGCGUGCAGGAAGACGGCUCUAUGAGUUGUAAACUGCUUUUGUACGGGGGUAAACGCAGAUACGCGUAUCUGUCUGAAAGUAUCUUACGAAUAAGGAUCGGCUAACUCCGUGCCAGCAGCCGCGGUAAUACGGAGGAUUCAAGCGUUAUCCGGAUUUAUUGGGUUUAAAGGGUGCGUAGGCGGUCGGAUAAGUUAGAGGUGAAAUCCCGAGGCUCAACUUCGGAAGUGCCUCUGAUACUGUUCGGCUAGAGAGUAGUUGCGGUAGGCGGAAUGUAUGGUGUAGCGGUGAAAUGCUUAGAGAUCAUACAGAACACCGAUUGCGAAGGCAGCUUACCAAGCUACUUCUGACGUUGAGGCACGAAAGCGUGGGGAGCAAACAGGAUUAGAUACCCUUGUAGUC